GACGAACGCUGGCGGCGUGCUUAACACAUGCAAGUCGAACGGAAAGGCCCUGCUUUUGUGGGGUGCUCGAGUGGCGAACGGGUGAGUAACACGUGAGUAACCUGCCCUUGACUUUGGGAUAACUUCAGGAAACUGGGGCUAAUACCGGAUAGGAGCUCCUGCCGCAUGGUGGGGGUUGGAAAGUUUCGGCGGUUGGGGAUGGACUCGCGGCUUAUCAGCUUGUUGGUGGGGUAGUGGCUUACCAAGGCUUUGACGGGUAGCCGGCCUGAGAGGGUGACCGGCCACAUUGGGACUGAGAUACGGCCCAGACUCCUACGGGAAGCAGCAGUGGGGAAUAUUGCACAAUGGGCGGAAGCCUGAUGCAGCAACGCCGCGUGCGGGAUGACGGCCUUCGGGUUGUAAACCGCUUUCGCCUGUGACGAAGCGUGAGUGACGGUAAUGGGUAAAGAAGCACCGGCUAACUACGUG
rnacentral:rRNA from 1 species